rnacentral:rRNA from 1 species
UACGUAGGGCGCAAGCGUUAUCCGGAAUUAUUGGGCGUAAAGAGCUCGUGGGCGGUUUGUCGCGUCGGGAGUGAAAACACCGGGCUUAACUCGGUGCUUGCUUUCGAUACGGGCAGACUUGAGGUAUGCAGGGGAGAACGGAAUUCCUGGUGUAGCGGUGAAAUGCGCAGAUAUCAGGAGGAACACCGGUGGCGAAGGCGGGUCUCUGGGCCGAUACUGACGCUGAGGAGCGAAAGCGUGGGGAGCAAACAGG